rnacentral:rRNA from 1 species
UUAUCCUACGGGAGGCAGCAGUGAGGAAUAUUGGUCAAUGGGCGAGAGCCUGAACCAGCCAAGUCGCGUGAGGGAAGACGGUCCUAUGGAUUGUAAACCUCUUUUGCCGGGGAGCAAAAAGCGGUACGUGUACCGCAUCGAGAGUACCCGGAGAAAAAGCAUCGGCUAACUCCGUGCCAGCAGCCGCGGUAAUACGGAGGAUGCGAGCGUUAUCCGGAUUUAUUGGGUUUAAAGGGUGCGCAGGCGGCGAGUUAAGUCAGCGGUAAAAGCCCGGGGCUCAACCCCGGCGAGCCGUUGAAACUGGG